rfam:Aedes albopictus isolate Foshan contig107418, whole genome shotgun sequence.
UGUUCGGUGGCUCAAUGGGUUAAAGCGCGUGUCUAGCGAAUACGGAGUUGUGGGUUCGAAUCCCACCAGGGCGC